GGGCGCAGGUCCAGGUGCGGAAAGAAUGGUUUGAACCUAUUCUUAGGGGGCGCAGCAACCUCCCUUGCGUUCG
rnacentral:tRNA from 2 species